UACCAACCUACAUUUUGUCAGUCGUAUUUCAGUCUGAUGCUCUCGCAGUCAGCAGCAAGACAUCAUGGAGAUUACAACUCUCAGCAUUCGACUUUUUUUGGUCUUCAUGGCCGUUCAAGCUGACUGCAGUAACUUUACUGGUGCAGUUUUUCCUCACAUUGUUCCAAACAGACUUCAGUUCUUUGAAUAUGAGUCUGUCUCUGUAUAUUGUGAGGUAGAUAACAACAUCACUGAAUGGAGAGUGAAGUGGAAAUCCCAUAAAAUAACAAACACUUCCUACACAUCAGCAUCACCCUGCAUAAUUUAUCCCAGUUUUGAAAGUCACAGUGGAGA